UAGUAUCUGGCUCAAUACCAAAAUCUUACACCUGUCAAAACAAGUAUAUAUGUACAACCAACUGCCAGCAUACAUAUAUAUAUUCCAACAGUUCAAAUCUCAGUCUAGGGCAAAACAUCAGAGCGACUACUAAAAAUUUACAAAAGAGUGAAUCUUUGUACAAAAUACAAAUCCUACAUCAAAGAAAGGCGCGGAAGAUGGGAAGUGGCCCGGUGGUGGAUUCCUGUGCACGUCUACUGCCUGGGGGCGCAAAACAACAAGAAGGGUGAGUGGACCCAAAAAAAACAAAGUUUAGAAAAUACUAGAUGAACAUACUAACCCCACUGUAAAAACAGUUAUACAAACUAGCUUAUUUUUUUUAUUUCUGAAAUCAAUGAAUGUAUAUAACUAUACAUUUGAAAACAGUUGAAAACUAUCACCUAGGUGUACCCCUAUUUCCGUCAAUUCCUUAUAUCCGUCAAUUCCUUGCAUCACCAUGGGUGGCGCAUACUCGCAGGUCUCAGUGACAAGAGGUCAGUCUGAGCCGCAACUCGCAGGAUUCAGGGAACCGUAGUCCGUCUUUAUCCGCAUUACUCGCUCCACACGAGUUCGAGUACCAAGGAACUCGUGGGGCAACUGUCAAGCAUGCUGACUAAACCGAAGGCAACAAAUAUAAUCCGAAGGCAACAUGUAAUAACUGGGUACAAGGUGGUUUAAGAAAAUAUAAAGUUUCUGAAGAAAAUCUUAUGAAUAAUUAACUUUCUGUAACCUUUAAAAUUCUGCUGCCAUUUAUCUGAUAAUUAACGAGAAUAUCUUUUCCUAUAUUCUUAAAAGGAAACUUCACUCGGCAGCAUGUAACAUAAAAUAUUUAACAGCAUAAAACAGCUUAUAACUGAAAUUGAACUGCUUAACUGAAACUGAACUGAUUAAAUUCAUUUAUAAAAACAAAGAGUUCACUCACUGAUAGUCUGAGCUCGCUGGACCUCUUGAAGGUCCCUCCUGCGGGUCAACUGGUGCCCGGGUGCCUGAUUCAAUGACCAUAAUAUUCUAUUAAUACAAUAUAGUAUUAAAUAAAAACAAAAACCCUACCCCCGGCUCCUAAAAGUACGUGCGUCAAUUUAAAGUGAUCCCUAUGCCCAUAACAGCUCUCCUUCCACGUGGGAUAGUUUAGCGAUAUCUUGGGACUCAAAAAGCGCUAAAGUCCAAAAAGUCAAUCCGGAACCCCACGGGUAUAAUAUGAUUCGGAUGCCGCUAAAAGGUCCAAUAUAUUUAGGACACAUGUCCCGAGGGUAUUGGUGUCAAUCGGACGGUCGGAUUAAUUACGAUCGUGUAAUCGCAUAAUUUCUAAACCCUAGCCCUAGGGUUCGCGAUUUCGGAGUAUCCGGGACUCCGAUUCGCAAUCCGUCGAAUCCUACACAAUCCUGAAAUCAUGUAGACCGACAUAUCCAAAAUUCAGUGUGAUCCACCGAUUUGACGACACUGCACCCAAGGAUCGCGCGAUAUGAAAAAUCCGUUCGGGGCUCAAACGAACUCCGAAUCGAGAUCCGCGAAAUCCUACGUGCUCGUGACGACACGAGGGUCACAAAACUGUACAACAUGACUUCACCACCCUCGCCCAUGCGCCCCAGCACGCGCGGGCAGAUUCGGGUGUCUUAAGCGAUUUCGGGUGGCCGAAAAAUCUCGGAACCAGGACUCCAAACUCCUAUCCUAGGUAAAACACUCCAUUUGGAGUCACUUUUGUUCUUGGACCUACCCCAAAAAGUGACUGGAAGUGGCCGAAAACAGAGGCCGAAAAUCGGCUGAAACUUCAAUUUAUAAACUGGGCAAUCUACGGCUAAAAUUGAUAAAAACCUAUCCAACCAUCAGUUAGAGCACGAAAAAUAGAUGAGAAUCCAUACCUUACUCGAAAGAUUUGGUUGAGAAUUGAGGGAGAACGAGCGGUUGGAAGUUGUGACAAAACCGACUUGUUUUUGGACGGAAUCCGGCGACUACAGCGGCGGCUGGCAGCAGGGAGCGGUCGGGGCUUGAAGACGGAACCGAGCUGGUUCUAUUGGCGCCGACGGCAAGGGCAUAGGUGGUCGGUGGCGGAAGUUAUGGUGCUUGGAAGGUGACGGCUGAGGAAGGCAACGGGAGAGGGAGAGAGAGA
rnacentral:lncRNA from 1 species